rnacentral:rRNA from 1 species
GAUGAACGCUAGCGGCAGGCCUAAUACAUGCAAGUCGAGGGAGAAUGUUGGAUUCGUCUGACAUGAAACCGGCGCACGGGUGCGUAACACGUAUGCAACCUACCUUUAACUGGGGUAUAGCUCAGAGAAAUCUGAAUUAAUCCCCCAUAAGACUACGACAUGGCAUCAUGAUGUAGUUAAAGCUCCGGCGGUUAAGGAUGGGCAUGCGGUACAUUAGCUAGUUGGUAAGGUAACGGCUUACCAAGGCUACGAUCCUUAGGGGCUCUGAGAGGAGUAUCCCCCACACUGGAACUGAGAGACGGGCCAGACUCCUACGGGAGGCAGCAGUAGGGAAUAUUGGGCAAUGGAGGCAACUCUGACCCAGCCAUGCCGCGUGCAGGAAGACGGUCCUCUGGAUUGUAAACUGCUUUUGAAUGGGAAGAAUGUGCUUCUUGCGAGGAGUAAUGACGGUACCAUUAGAAUAAGCCACGGCUAACUACGUGCCAGCCGCCGCAGUAA